AAAUUCAAAAGUAAAAAAAAGGCGGCAGACCAAUUCCCUCCACUAAGCUAUGAUUCUCCUCUGUCGUGUCGGAGGUCGCCUCCGGUGGAGGCGGAACUCUAAUGCCUAAAAACAACACAUCAUCCCCUUCAUCUUUCCAUCCUAAAUUUGAAAAUCUCAUUGAAACAAUCCAAUUCUUCAUAUACAACCUGAAUCGAAGCAUAGAAGCCAAGAACCCUAAAUUUGAGAACUGAAAUUAAAUCACGUUCCCUCUGAGUCAAAGCCCUAGGGGUUAGGGCUUUGACUCCCCUACUCCUACUCUACAUCUAGGUAACAAGUAUGAGGAAAAAUGGUGAAGGCAAGAGAACUCAUCGGCGCGGAGGUCACCGGAGUUUGAGGUGUUGCUGAUAUGAUGUCGGCAAAGCUUGAAUGGUGGUCUAACUUUCCUUUUCUUACAGGAUGUGAUGGAAUGGUAACUACGAUGUUUUAUGAUGCAUUAUUAACUACACUGAUGUUGUUAUUUGGCUGCAGGUACAUGUUAGCAGGGUUGCUGCCCUUGUAAAAUUGAUGUCACUUAUAGUCAAUCAUUGUCCAAACUGUACAUGGUCUUCUAUAGUUAGGAAGUUAGGUUAGGUUCGCAAUAGAUUAGUGAGUAAAAUUGAUUACAUGAGAUGAUAUUGUAUGGUUUCUUGAGGACAGGAUGAUGUCACUUGCAAAAUGAUGCAUUUAUGAGCAUGAGCUGCUAGUUUUUAUUGUA